CCUACGGGAGGCAGCAGUGAGGAAUAUUGGUCAAUGGACGAGAGUCUGAACCAGCCAAGUAGCGUGAAGGAUGACUGCCCUAUGGGUUGUAAACUUCUUUUAUAAAGGAAUAAAACGAGGCACGUGUGCCUUUUUGCAUGUACUUAUGAAUAAGGAUCGGCGAACUCCGUGCCAGCAGCCGAGGUAAUACGGAGGAUCCGAGCGUUAUCCGGAUUUAUUGGGUUUUAAGGGGGCGUAGAUGGGUUGUUAAGUCAGUUGUGAAAGUUUGCGGGUCAACCGUAAAAUUGCAAUUGAUACUGGCAGUCUUGAGUACAGUUGAGGUAGGCGGAAUGCGUGGUGUAGCGGUGAAAUGCUUAGAUAUCACGAAGAACUCCGAUUGCGAAGGCAGCUCACUGGACUGCAACUGACACUGAGGCACGAAAGUGUGGGUAUCAAACAGGAUUAGAUACCCCUGUAGUC
rnacentral:rRNA from 1 species